AUUGAACGCUGGCGGCAGGCCUAACACAUGCAAGUCGAGCGGGGUUUUCGGACCUAGCGGCGGACGGGUGAGUAAUGCGUAGGAAGCUACCCGGUAGAGGGGGAUACCAGUUGGAAACGACUGUUAAUACCGCAUAAUGUCUACGGACCAAAGUGUGGGACCUUCGGGCCACAUGCUAUCGGAUGCGCCUACGUGGAUUAGCUAGUUGGUGAGGUAAUGGCUCACCAAGGCGACGAUCCCUAGCUGUUUGAGAGGAUGAUCAGCCACACUGGAACUGAGACACGGUCCAGACUCCUACGGGAGGCAGCAGUGGGGAAUAUUGGACAAUGGGCGCAAGCCUGAUCCAGCCAUGCCGCGUGUGUGAAGAAGGCCUUCGGGUUGUAAAGCACUUUCAGUAGGGAGGAAGGGUGUUGUGUUAAUAGCGCAGCAUUUUGACGUUACCUACAGAAGAAGCACCGGCUAACUCUGUGCCAGCAGCCGCCGUAAUAC
rnacentral:rRNA from 1 species